GACGAACGCUGGCGGCGUGCUUAACACAUGCAAGUCGAACGAUGAAGGAGAGCUUGCUCUCCGGAUUAGUGGCGAACGGGUGAGUAACACGUGACUAACCUGCCCCUUUCUCUGGGAUAACGCUCCGAAAGGAGUGCUAAUACCGGAUACGAACUCUGAACACAUGUCCGGAGUUGGAAAGGUUUUCGGAAAGGGAUGGAGUCGCGGCCUAUCAGCUUGUUGGUGAGGUAACGGCUCACCAAGGCGACGACGGGUAGCCGGCCUGAGAGGGCGACCGGCCACACUGGGACGGAGACACGGCCCAGACUCCGACGGGAGGCAGCAGUGGGGAAUAUUGCACAAUGGGCGAAAGCCUGAUGCAGCGACGCCGCGUGAGGGAUGAAGGUCCUCGGAUUGUAAACCUCUUUCAGUAGGGACGAAGCGAAAGUGACGGUACCUAAAGAAGAAGCACCGGCUAACUACGUGCCAGCCGCCGCCGUAA
rnacentral:rRNA from 1 species